AUUGAACGCUGGCGGCAGGCCUAACACAUGCAAGUCGAGCGGUAGCACAGAGAGCUUGCUCUCGGGUGACGAGCGGCGGACGGGUGAGUAAUGUCUGGGAAACUGCCUGAUGGAGGGGGAUAACUACUGGAAACGGUAGCUAAUACCGCAUAAUGUCGCAAGACCAAAGUGGGGGACCUUCGGGCCUCAUGCCAUCAGAUGUGCCCAGAUGGGAUUAGCUAGUAGGUGGGGUAACGGCUCACCUAGGCGACGAUCCCUAGCUGGUCUGAGAGGAUGACCAGCCACACUGGAACUGAGACACGGUCCAGACUCCUACGGGAGGCAGCAGUGGGGAAUAUUGCACAAUGGGCGCAAGCCUGAUGCAGCCAUGCCGCGUGUAUGAAGAAGGCCUUCGGGUUGUAAAGCACUUUCAGCGGGGAGGAAGGCGAUAAGGUUAAUAACCUUGUCGAUUGACGUUACCCGCAGAAGAAGCACCGGCUAACUCCGUGCCAGCAGCCGCGGUAAUACGGAGGGUGCAAGCGUUAAUCGGAAUUACUGGGCGUAAAGCGCACGCAGGCGGUCUGUCAAGUCGGAUGUGAAAUCCCCGGGCUCAACCUGGGAACUGCAUUCGAAACUGGCAGGCUAGAGUCUUGUAGAGGGGGGUAGAAUUCCAGGUGUAGCGGUGAAAUGCGUAGAGAUCUGGAGGAAUACCGGUGGCGAAGGCGGCCCCCUGGACAAAGACUGACGCUCAGGUGCGAAAGCGUGGGGAGCAAACAGGAUUAGAUACCCUGGUAGUCCACGCUGUAAACGAUGUCGAUUUGGAGGUUGUGCCCUUGAGGCGUGGCUUCCGGAGCUAACGCGUUAAAUCGACCGCCUGGGGAGUACGGCCGCAAGGUUAAAACUCAAAUGAAUUGACGGGGGCCCGCACAAGCGGUGGAGCAUGUGGUUUAAUUCGAUGCAACGCGAAGAACCUUACCUGGUCUUGACAUCCACAGAACUUUCCAGAGAUGGAUUGGUGCCUUCGGGAACUGUGAGACAGGUGCUGCAUGGCUGUCGUCAGCUCGUGUUGUGAAAUGUUGGGUUAAGUCCCGCAACGAGCGCAACCCUUAUCCUUUGUUGCCAGCGGUCCGGCCGGGAACUCAAAGGAGACUGCCAGUGAUAAACUGGAGGAAGGUGGGGAUGACGUCAAGUCAUCAUGGCCCUUACGACCAGGGCUACACACGUGCUACAAUGGCAUAUACAAAGAGAAGCGACCUCGCGAGAGCAAGCGGACCUCAUAAAGUAUGUCGUAGUCCGGAUUGGAGUCUGCAACUCGACUCCAUGAAGUCGGAAUCGCUAGUAAUCGUAGAUCAGAAUGCUACGGUGAAUACGUUCCCGGGCCU
rnacentral:rRNA from 1 species